rnacentral:rRNA from 1 species
CUUCGAACGGAGUAACGGAGGGAGUAGAUAUCUCCCAUUCCCUCAAUCCCACGGGACGCCGGCCGGAAUCCGCCGCCGCCGCCGCCGCCUUCACUGUGUUUUCUUGAUUCAAGCGAGCACCGCAAAAAGCCAUGCCCCUCCUCCACCUCCUCCUCUUCCUGCACCAUACAUCGCUGAAGCGCUCUCGCGCCGGAUCCCGGCGGCCGUCGGGGCGGAGGAUUGAGGGACCAAGCCGGGACUUUUCGAGGCCGGCGGCGGAGCGCCAAGGGAGGAGGCCGCGGCGAGUAGAGGGAGGGAGCGAGCAUCCUCGAGACAGAGCGCAUCCAGAUCCACAUGUGCGUGCGUGUCCCCGGAAGUCAAGAACAAUUGGUCCUAGAGCAGGGCGUACUCUACUCUCCACCCCACCCACCCCUGCAAAGUUCUAAUAAUGGGGCCAGAAACAUGCAUAUUUGGGGAAGAACACUUCGUCCUAUGGCCAUUGGAUUCGCGGAGAUGCCAUUGAAGAAGCCCCACCAUCUUUCUCAGCUGAGGCCAUCAUUGCCGGUGCCCACCUCUGCAUGCUCUCUGCACUUUGGUACCUCUGCUCACAAGAUGAACAGCGCUCAAGCCACAGGUGAGGUGAAAAAUUGCUUGCUUAUUUGCUCCCACAUGUACCAGGCAUUGUUUCCUUCCAUGCUCCUCACAAGCAAACAAACACACUUUUGUUCACACCAUAUUUGUCCUCUCCACCUUGCGAGGCGCUCCAAUGGCGGCGACGGUGGUGGUCAACAUCGUGGUCGGGCCGCUGGUCAAGAUCGUGCUGGAGAAGGCGUCCAACUACCUCCUCGACAAGUACAAGGUGAUGAAGGGCAUGGAGGAGCAGCAUGAGAUCCUCAAGCGCAGGCUGCCCGCCAUCCUCGACGUCAUCGCCGACGCCGAGCAGGCGGCAGCCCACAGGGAAGGGGCGGCGGCCUGGCUCCAGGCCAUCAAGAAGGUGACCUACCAGGCGAAUGAAGUGUUCGACGAGUUCAAGUACGAGGCGCUUCGUCGCAAGGCCAAGAAGGAGGGGCACUACAAGGAGCUUGGCUUCAGUGUGGUAAAGCUCUUUCCCACCCACAACCGCUUCAUAUUCCGUAACAGGAUGGGAAGAAAGCUCCGCAAGAUAGUGCGAGCCAUUGAGGUUCUUGUGGCUGAAAUGAAGGACUUUGACUUCAAGCAUCAGCAACCACUGCGGGCAUACAACCAGUGGCGACAGAAGGAUCAUGAUAUCUUUGAUCCGGAGAAAAUCACCAGUAGAUCGAGAGCCAAAGAUAAGAAGAAGCUUGUUGAUAUACUGGUUGGUCAAGCUAACAAUGCAGAUCUCACAGUUGUUCCCAUCGUUGGAAUGGGUGGUCUGGGAAAGACCACGUUAGCUCAACUUGUCUACAAUGACACUGAAAUUCAGAAGCAUUUCAAUUUGCUGCUAUGGGUGUGUGUCUCUGACAACUUUGAUGUGGAUUCUCUGGCUAAAAGUAUAGUUGAAGCAGCUCUCGAGAAAAAUGGUGCAGAAGCAGCUACUUCCAUGAGGACGAAGACACCGCUGGAUGGCCUUCAGAAUGUAGUGAGUGGGCAAAGGUACCUCCUUGUAUUGGAUGAUGUCUGGACACGAGAGGUUCAUAAAUGGGAGCAGCUCAAGGCCUGCCUUGAACGUGGUGGCAUGGGGAGUGUGGUCUUGACAACAACUCGUGAUAAAGGAGUUGCGGAAAUAGUGGGUACUGUUGAAGCUUAUAAUCUCGGAGCUUUGGAUGGACAAUACAUAAAGGAAAUUAUCGAGACAAUGUCGUUCAGUUGUUUGAAGAAGGGAGAGGAAAGGCCAGCCGUGUUGAUGAAUAUGGUUGAUGAGAUUGUGGAGCGAUGUUCUGGCUCUCCUUUAGCUGCAAUGGCUCUGGGCUCUGUACUGCGUAACAAGACCAGUGAAGAAGAAUGGAAAGAUGUAUCAAGCAGAAGCAACAUUUGCACCGUGGAGUCUGGAAUCUUACCGAUACUCAAGCUCAGUUACAAUGACUUGCCGCCACAAAUGAAGCAAUGCUUUGCUUUUUGUGCUAUAUUUCCCAAAGAUUACGAGAUUAAUGUGGACAAGCUGAUCCAACUAUGGAUUGCACAUGGCUUUAUUAUCCAAGAAAAGCAAGUUCGUCUUGAAAACAUUGGCAAACAGAUUUUCAAUGAACUAGUCUCAAGGUCAUUCUUUCAGGAUGUGAAACAAGUCCAGACCACAAUCGGUGAAAUUGAACAGGACGGGGCGUGUUAUGUCAGAAGUACAUGUAAAAUCCAUGAUCUUAUGCAUGAUGUUGCACUGUCUGUAAUGGAGAAUGAAUGUGCCUUGGCAACUGAGGACCCAGGCAAGAUUGGAUAUGUUUUCUCAACUGAGGAACCAAGUCAGAGUGAGUGGCUUCCAGACACGGCUCGGCAUUUAUUUUUGUCAUGCAAGGAACCAGCAAGAAAAUUGAAUAGUUCUCUCAAGAACAGUUCUUCAGCCAUCCAAACACUUCUGUGUGAUAGCUUUAUGAGCAGAUCAUUGCAUCAUUUGGCAAAAUACAGCUCCUUGCAAGCAUUACAGCUCCGUUUGUUGGGAUCAUUUCCGCUGAAACCAAAACAUCUGCAUCACCUGAGGUACCUAGAUCUCUCAAGAAGUUUAAUAAAAGCACUUCCUGAAGAUAUGAGCAUUCUAUACAACCUGCAAACGUUGAACCUCUCUGGCUGCGUAUCUCUUCGUGAACUUCCAAGACAAAUGAAGUAUAUGGCUGCGCUCCGCCACCUUUACACUCAUGGUUGUCCAGAGCUGAAAGGCAUGCCUAGAGACCUAAGAAAACUCACAUCCCUACAGACACUUACAUGUUUUGUUGCAGGUAGUGGCUCUAAUUGCAGCAAUGUUGGAGAGCUCGGGAAUUUAAACCUCGGUGGUCAACUAGAGUUACAUCAUCUAGAGAAUGUGACAGAAGAAGCUGCAAAAGCUGCAAACCUCGUGAUGAAGAAGGAAGUAACAGAACUGACAUUAAAAUGGACUGUUGGAUCGGAUAACGUUGUUGAUGAACCUAGCAGUCGGGAUGAUGCGAAAGUGCUCGAGGAACUUAAACCUCAUGAUGGGCUGCAUGCUAUAAGGAUACACACCUAUGGAGGCACCACCUUUCCAACAUGGACAGCUAUGUUGCAAAACAUUGUUGUGAUCCAUAUUUCUCAUUGUAAGAAACUGCAAUGGUUCUUUAGUGGUGACAUUAACACAUCCUUUGCAUUUCCAAAUCUGAAGGAGCUUACGUUGCAAGAGCUUGUCUGCUUUGAGAGAUGGUGGGAAAUAGAUAAUGUAACGCAAGGAGAAGUGGUGAUGUUUCCUCGGCUUGAGAAGUUGCGCAUUAGUCAGUGUGAAAAGUUGACAGCAUUGCCAGGGCAACCGACCUUCCCAAACCUCCAGAUCACUCGUAUUGAGAGAUGUCCAGAGUUGACGACUAGAGUUGAAUCACCAAAGCUCAGUGUAUUAAAGAUGGAAGGACAUGAUGUACAGUUGUUUCAGUGGGUAGCCAGGCAUAUGACUUCAUUGACCAAUGUUGAACUGCAUAGCCUUGUGGACAGUACAGAAACAACCUCGGCGGUGGCUGAGGAUGGUUUGAGGGAAGUUCUGGAUUGCAAGGAAAAAUGGAAUGAUCAUGAUUUUCCUCUGACAGUUUUGGUGCUACAAAACUUCAAGUCAGGUAUAACAGAGCUGUGUUCAUGUUUUGUACACCUGCAAGAUUUGUCAGUUUGGAGGUGCCAUGCGCUCCUCCACUGGCCAGAAAAGGAGUUUGAAGGAUUGGUAUCCUUGAGGAAGCUUGUGAUUCACCAAUGUGAGAAUCUGACUGGAUAUGCACAAGCUUCUACCGAGCCAUCAACAUCGUCAGAAAAGAGUCAGCUCCUUCCACGUCUAGAGUUACUAGUGAUAAGGAAAUGUGAAAGUUUGGUUGAGGUCUUCAAUGUCCCUGCAUCUCUCAGGGUAAUGGAAAUUCUUUAUUGCAAGAAGCUUGAGUCUAUAUCUGGCAGGAGGCUGCUGCAGGGACAGUCAGCAUCGUCGAUUCACCAAGGGCCAUCUAGUAUAGCAGAGGUGUCAUCAUCACCAUCAUCUGGAGUUGGGGUGGAGAAUUUAGAAACGUUAAAAUUAGUCGAGUGUCAUAGCUUAACAGGGGUCCUGCGUCUCCCUUCGUCCCUCAAGGUUCUAGACAUUGAUAGCUGCAGUGGGCUGACAUCUCUGGAAUCUCACUCCGGAGAGCUUCCAUCAUUGGAGUACCUCUACCUUUGGAGUUGCAAUAAACUGUCAUCCCUACUGGAUGGGCCACGAGCAUACUCUUAUCUCCAAAGUCUUUACAUUAAGAACUGCCCUGGUAUAAAGGCGUUCCCUACAAGCCUGCAGCAAAGGCUGGGCAGCAUCCAGGAGGAAUACACAGAUGCUCAUUAUUAUGGAAAUAAGCCAAGGCCUAUCCCUAUCCUGCUGAAACCAAAGACAUGGAAAUGUGCCAUCCGUAGAGAUUAGAGGGCUAUAAACAGAAUCACGGGACGAGAAUACUUCCACAGAAUUCUUCCAGCAUACAGGGACUGGAAAGAGAGAUCACUUGGGGUGGAGCUAUUCUCUUGCUGAGAGGCCCACAAGUUGUUGCCAUGCUGAACUGCGAGAUCCGUAAUCAGGAAGCGCUUCUAAUACUAUUGGCUAUCAAUCAUUUCAUUCUGUUCCCAGAAGAUCUUGUUGGAAUAAUUACUUGUAUUUUUCCACCUCUGUUUACCUACGGUCAUGUCCUAGGCACUGUCAGUUUUCUGUGCUAGGCACCGUCAGUUUUCUGUUGAAAUUCCGUCGCAGUUUCCCUGUUUUAUCUGUGAACCUGUAUAAACAGAGUACCGCCAUUUAGAGUCAGUAUUCCGUUUAUCGCAUAUAUAUAGGCAAUGUUAUUUACGAAGCUGUUGAUUCUCUCUUGUACUAUGCACCAGAUUUCAUGGAGGGGAUUAUCCCAGAUGUAGCUUGCCUGUCGUCUGUCGACUUUCAACAGGAAAAAUGCAUGUGGAAACAGAGGAAUGACAUUUUUCUUUGGGCGAUGCAUGUGGUCUCGUCUACAGGUUCUCUGGCACAUCUGGAAGCACCAAUGUUAACCUGCUGCUGGGGUUCGGCCACAGACCCUGUCGUGGUGGUCAGGCAACUGUUGAAGACUGUUCACUGAAUCAGGCUGCUCUGUUAAUUUUUUUUUUCAGUUUCUGAUGUUUUUUUGCAGUGUUUCUUCAGCUACCUUAGCAACGAUAUGUAUCUAUCUGGAGUCUUUUGACGCCUGUUACCAUGCGUUUCAUUUUCAAUGAAACUGGGACAGGGCGUGGGCCUUUUGAUCGGGUUUUUAAAUUUUUAUUUCCAGCGCAAUCUAAGCUAGAUAUAAGAUUUCAGUUUCUCAAGAUACGAUGUUCAUCCGAAUCCAUCCUGACUUGUUCUUUUGUUUAUUGACAAUUAUAUGCAUUUGAAUCUGUUGAUUAGCCCUCAUACUCUGCUUUUGUUUGUUUCUCAAGACCAGCUGUUGGAAUAUUCUUCUCAAAUGAGGUUAGGAACUUUGGUAUACACAAUUCGACGUCGCGAACCGCUUCAGGUUGUAAGUACUAACUAGAGAGCUGGGACUUCAAAUUUUCAAGAUAUGUUGAAUUGUUGAUGUCCAUCGCCAAUUUCGACCUGGUAACUGCUCGUCAGAGCAAAUCAACAAUUUCAGAA